rnacentral:rRNA from 1 species
AGAUUGAACGCUGGCGGCAUGCCUAACACAUGCAAGUCGAACGGGAGUAGCAAUACUCUAGUGGCGGACGGGUGAGGAGUACGUAGGAAUUUGCCCUUAAGUGGGGGAUAACCCGGGGAAACCCGGAUUAAUACCGCAUGACCUCGAAAGAGCAAAGUGGGGGAUCGCAAGACCUCACGCUUUUGGAGAAGCCUACGUCGGAUUAGCUAGUUGGUGAGGUAAUGGCUCACCAAGGCGACGAUCCGUAACUGGUCUGAGAGGAUGAUCAGUCACACCGGAACUGAGACACGGUCCGGACUCCUACGGGAGGCAGCAGUGGGGAAUAUUGGACAAUGGGCGCAAGCCUGAUCCAGCAAUGCCGCGUGUGUGAAGAAGGCCUUCGGUUGUAAAGCACUUUAAGUUAGGGAAGAAAAACUACGACUCUAACACAGUGAGUCUUAGACGGUACCGACAGAAUAAGACACCGGACUAACUCUGUAGCCGUAGCACGCCGACGGUAAUCGUGAGCGGCGUGACG